GAUUCCCCUAGUAACUGCGAGUGAAGCGGGAAAAGCUCAAAUUUUGAAUCUGGCGGUCCUUGUGGCCGUCCGAGUUGUAAUCUAGAGAAGCGUCUUCCGCGCUGGACCGUGUACAAGUCUCCUGGAAGGGAGCGUCAUAGAGGGUGAGAAUCCCGUCUUUGACACGGACACCCAGGGCUAUGUGAUGCGCUCUCGACGAGUCGAGUUGUUUGGGAAUGCAGCUCAAAACGGGUGGUAAAUUCCAUCUAAAGCUAAAUACAGGCGAGAGACCGAUAGCGAACAAGUACCGUGAGGGAAAGAUGAAAAGAACUUUGGAAAGAGAGUUAAACAGUACGUGAAAUUGCUGAAAGGGAAACGCUUGAUGUCAGUCGCGUCCGCCGGGGAUCAACCUUGCUUUCGGGCGAGGUGUACUUCCUGGUUGACGGGUCAGCAUCAGUUUCGAUCGUCGUACAAUGGCAAAGGGAAUGUGGCACUCUUCCGAGUGUGUUAUAGCUUUUUGUCGCAUCCGGCGCUUGGGACUGAGGAACUCGGCACGACUCCGUUUGUGUCUAGGAUGCUGGCAUAAUGGCCUUAAGCGACCCGUCUUGAAACACGGACCAAGGAGUCUAACAUGCCUG
rnacentral:rRNA from 1 species